rnacentral:lncRNA from 1 species
AAUGUUAACUUCUACAAAACCUUAGGGACAGUAGCAUCUAGAAAUGCAUUGAAAGCAUCAUGUUUUUUCUUAGUGAUAGAAGCCUAAACUGAGAACCAAUUUAAGUGCAAGGUGAACUUUAAAAUGAUCGGUCAUGUUCUCCUCUCUUUAACAGGAACUUGAAAUGGAGAUAACUAUGCCCAGGACAAAACGCUGGAAACCUAAUUUAAUCCAAGACACACUCAAUAGUGAAUAUAUUUGAGGACAUUGUUUAGAUUGAAUUAUAAUAGUUGGUAGCUUAGUACAUGGAGAAUAAUACCACGAGGACAACAUCCUGAGUUUGAUCAAUCUCAUCUCCCGAAUAUCUGUGAAAUGAUGCCUCCCCCGAUGUCUUCUUGUGUCCCAGACUUUAAUGCCUGUAUCUGUCGUCAAGGAAGAGUCAGGUCCAUCUGCUCCAAAAUUGUAAAUCUCUAUUUAGAGAUCAUCUUUCUGACAUGGAGGCGGAGAGCAAUGGAUAAUUAUCGUUCCUAACUGAAGUCCCAAAGACAACCUCCUUCUUGGUCAAGGCUCGCACUUCCUUAGUAAACACAGCAGUGCCACGCAGUCCUGGGCACUGGGCAUGGUAGAGGUGUCCCACAGCCACCCACUGAUUGAUUCGCUCGUCUUCCUGAUGUGGCAGGAUCCCCGUGCUAACCUCUGUUUCCCAACACUGGCAGUCAGCCAGAAGAAGUGAAGGAUUUCUGCUGCUGGUCAAUUCACUAACUUUGUAAGAAUUUGGUAUUUGAAUAAAAUACUCUCAUCAGUCUUAACA